AAUCAACGCUGGCGGCGUGCCUCAGACAUGCAAGUCGAACGAUUAAACUUGCCUUCGGGCAAGAUAUAAAGUGGCGCACGGGUGAGUAACACGUAAGUAAUCUACCUUCGAGUGGGGAAUAACGUUCGGAACGAACGCUAAUACCGCAUAAUGCAGCGGCACCUAAUGGUGACAGUUGAUAAAGGAGCAAUCCGCUUGAAGAGGAGCUUGCGGCAGAUUAGCUAGUUGGUAAGGUAACGGCUUACCAAGGCUACGAUCUGUAACCGGUCUAAGAGGACGGUCGGUCACACUGACACUGAAUAACGGGUCAGACUCCUACGGGAGGCAGCAGUCGGGAAUUUUGGGCAAUGGGCGAAAGCCUGACCCAGCAACGCCGCGUGAAGGAUGAAGUAUUUCGGUAUGUAAACUUCGAAAGAAUGGGAAGAAUCAAUGACGGUACCAUUUAUAAGGUCCGGCUAACUACGUGCCAGCCGCCGCCGUAAG
rnacentral:rRNA from 1 species